GGAACUUGUCUUACUACUGAAGAGUGCCUCUUGAAUAAAAACAGGAAUCCACACCUUACUAAAGUACAGAUUGAGGAUGAACUUAAAGCAUAUUUGGGUGUCAAGAAGAUUAUAUGGUUGCCUCGUGGAUUAUUUGGUACCUACUUACCUCCAUAGAAUGUUUUCUCAUGUCAUUCACCUUAAGUAAUAUGUUUUCUUGAUAAAGGAAAUGUAAGUUUUUUUACUUUUUAUCCGAGUAUUCUUGUCAUGGGUAUCUGAUUGAUCUAUUUAUCCCUACCUCUGUAUCAUCAGUUUAAAUUUGAAGAAACUAUAAAUCUUAAAUUUAUUAUUUUAUGCUUAUAGUAAUUACUAAAAUCUGUGCAUGGUUUUACAGGUGAUGAUGAUACUAAUGGUCAUGUGGACAAUAUGUGCUGCUUUGUUAAACCUGGUGUGGUUUUGUUAUCAUGGACUGAUGACAAAUCAGAUCCGCAUUAUGAGAGAGGUGCCGAAGCCUUGUCUGUUCUUUCCAACUCUACAGAUGCUAAUGGUAGACAAUUUCAUAUCAUUAAACUCCACAUUCCUGGACCACUUUACAUGACUCAGGAGGAAGCUGACGGAGUUAUUCAGGUGCAGUAUUAUCUGGACUAAGUUAGGCUCCAUCUGUUGAUUAUCAAUGGCUUUUACUCAUUUCAAUUUUCCCUUUUAGAAAAGUGUGUUGAAUUUAAUAGGAGUCGUCUAUAUUUCCUGCUGCUUUUAACCAAAACAGCUGCUUAGUGCUUUACAUUACCAGCUUAUGUCGCUUCUCAAUUUGUGCAUGAGCUGGAAGUGAGACUAUAGUAGCAAACCAUAGCAUUUAUUGAUAUCUUCUAGAGAACUUCAUAAUUAGUGUCAUUUAUAAUACACUAUACUAACUCGAUACUUUAUAACGUGUAAUGUAAACUAGAGAUAGACACUUAUUUGUUAUUUCUUUCUAUUUUGUGGAAAGGAAUCUUAUUGAGACAGGAUAAAGUGUUUAUACAAACAUGCUACAAUAACUAAUCUUUUUUGUGGUCUCUUUUAAAUCGUACCUGUAAUAUCAUCUUACCAUCCCCCCGCAACUACCCGCUUCAUUGUAGAAAAGGUAAAUUUGCAAGAUUGUAAUUUUAAAAUUAAAUAUUCAUGCAUAUAACUCUCUUUGUUAAUCCUUCAAAUCUAUUAGUCCUUCCGCAUGUUGAUCCUCUGAGAUUGUACAAUAAAGAUUCAUUUGUGAUUUAUCUGUGCUCAUCUUUUGAGUAUUCAAGUUUGCUCAUUUCUUUGAAACAGGAUGGGGAUGCUAAACCUAGACUGGCAGGUACAAGGCUUGCUGCUACCUAUGUAAACUUCUACAUUGCCAAUGGAGCUAUCAUUGCACCACAGUUUGGGGAUAAAAAGUGGGAUGAUGAAGCCGUCCGUGUCUUGUCUCGGGCAUUUCCAGAUAACGAAGUAAGCAGUUAUUCAGUUUGUUUCUUGUUUAUAUAAUAAUGUUUCAAUAAUAAAUUAAAUUCAUGGAGGCCGGCACAAUGCUGAAAUUUAAAUGUUCUAAAUAAUCUCUCAUUGCAUUUGCAUUUCAAAUUACCUUGAAAAUUGAUAUCAUUCUUCUCUUUUUUUUAAUAAAGGAAAAUUCACAACAAGAACCUUAGUUUUUUUUUUUUUUUUUAAAUCUUGAAGGCAUUUGCUUUUCGAGAUAUAAUUGAUUCCACUUCCACCGAAGAUUCUUUUUUUUUUGCUUUCUAAUAUGAGAUUGUCAGAGUGGGGCAGUCUCUUGUGGUAAUUGUGUCUUAUCAUCCCAUAUGACUAUUGUAUGAGUGUGGAAUUCUCAUGUCGAAUCAUCCUCUAUGCAAUCCUCACCAACCACAAUAACCUUAUGGGAGUGAUAUAGGUGGAUGUCCUUGCAGCCUUAAGCCUGUUUACUUCUAGAUACUUGAACCAAACGAAGAACCGAAAUAGAUUUUUCAUUAGCUGAAGUAUGUUACUAGCUGAGUUUGCUAAAAUAUAUAAAGAAAGACCAAAGAGGACUCGGACAAAUAAUGGCUGGACACUGCCAAAGGUUGGCUAAACUUGGGCACAAGGCUUUCACAUGAAAGAAGGUGCACUGUUCACAAUGUGCAAUUCAUAGUUAACAAUAUAAUUAUCUAUAGUUGUCCUAAUAGUACCCUGCAAUGAUUAGCUCUCAAUAAUUUGUAUGUAUUUUAUUAACUAGGAGAUGGCAGGUUCAUAAUUUCUACUGCAUUAAUGAGUUCUUUAAAACUGGUAGUGAAAGAUACAAGGGCUGACAAGUUGCUGCGUAUUUGGAUAACUUAAUAUGUGCAUGCUUGCAUGCUCAAAUGAACAUGAUUGUUUAUUUGAUCGUCAUCUUUAGUUGUUCCCAUUACUAAAAAAUUUGUUUUCUGUUUUCUGAGAAGGUUGUAAGAAUUGAAGGUGCGAGGGAGAUUGUUCUGGGUGGCGGAAAUAUUCACUGUAUCACACAACAGCAACCUGCUUGUCCAUGAUCAUUACCAAGUCGAUUGACAUGUGGCUGACCAUGCAUCUGUGUCGACAGAGCAGCUUCUCAAUGUAUUCAGUUGCAGAAAUGUUAGUAGACAUAGAACGCCAUUUUAUUUACGGCUUUUCUUCUGUAACAAUCAUUACCACAAUUGUCAUGGUUUUAAUUGAUUUUGCAAACGUUUACCGGACUCAUCAGCCGGGAUCCUUGACAUAUUUUCUAUGUAGUAUUAAAGAAGUUUCUAGUUUCUAAAUAUUCUGCAUUCCGCUGCAACUCAGCGAGGUAAGCAUGAUGUUCAAUGAUUUGGAAGGGAUUGACCAUUAUCAUUUUAUUUUUUUUCUAAAUUUUUUGUUUCGUGCAGUGCAUUGUGCAGUCUAUACCUGCAUGUUGUCUAUGUUCUCUUAAAGAAAUGUCAAGUUGUGCGUCUGGAAAUAUUUCCCAUGAGACUCACAUCUCAGAUGCAACACAUUUGUUUUUAGUUCUGAUACUCCUGAGCCACUCACCCAACCUAAUAUUUAUAAAUUUUUCACGCGUGUUAAUUUGUAGUUAUAUUUAUUAUAAGAAAAUCGAGUAACAUCAUUUUCUAAUUUAAAAUAUAUAGAUUAAUUGUUUAUAUAAUUUGUUAGUACUAUUGUAAAUCGCGGUUCAACAUCAUCCAACAAUAAUUAUAUAUGUGUUGAUUAGAUAUCUAGAACUAGUAUAACAUGUGUGAUGUGUGACACUUCUCCAACUCUCUGUGACUGGAGCUCAAAAGUCAAAUUAGUUUGUUCCUUGAUCUUUGCAGAUUAAUUAAGAUAAAAAAAAUCAGGUUUAGAAGAGCCGAACCUCCUCAUUUGUCUUUAUCCUUUUUCAAGUUAGUUGAGUAAAUUUCGCUGGCUUUUUUCGUGUGAAAAAUCUGUCUUUGUCCUUUUUCAAUCUCGUCGAGGAAAUUUUACUGUUUUUCUUGUGUGAAAAGUCUCAACCCCUUGCUUCUUUCAUUUUCAUUGAUUCUUUUUCAACAAAACUCUAUUUUGAGCGUUCAUAUGUCUCUAUUUUUGGAGUGGUUUUUUGUCUCUCCUUUUGAAGUGUUUCACUAUAUUAUUGUUCAAUUAUAUUUGUAUUUAUUUAAUGUUGAAUCUAUUAAGAAUGAUUUUUGUUGAUAUUUUUUAAUCUAAGGAAUCCCGUGUCAAAUUUGACCCGAUAAUAUAAUUAUGGUAAGAGGUCAUUUUUUCACGAAUAAUAUUGUUCAUCUGUUAAGGGUUUACAUUUUCCGCAUAUCUAUAACUGGUGCGUGUAAAUAGCUAGGAUGUCAUUCCUCCAAUCCAAUUAAUGCGAUUAGAAUUUUUGAACACUAAAUGAUUUUUAUGCCGUAAAGUCAAUUGUGAACGCUGCUUUUUGGGAUAUUGAUGCAAUUUGGAUCGUUUGAAAUAUCCUUGAUUUUAUUUUUAACUUUAAGAAUUUUUAUAUUCAAUGUGUUAAGCGAAUAGGAAACAAAAUAACUAAUUAUUUUUAGUAUGUUAUUUAUUUUCUAACUUGGUUGUAUGGGCAGUUGGGAGUUUGUCCAAGUUAUAUUUAUGAUUAAUAAAAAUACUUUUCUUUUCUAGAAAAAUAAAAUACUUGUUUCAAAAAAUAAAAUAAUAUAUAUAUAUUUUAAAGACUACCAACUCAAUGUAUUUUAAUAUUAAAAUUUAACCCCCUCUUGAAGGGGGAAAAAACCUAAAAUAACUAAUAUUCAAGUAAUGUGUCCCAAAUAAUAUAUACCGGAUAGUGCGCCCUUUUUCUUGAAUGCGUGUCGAUAAGAUGCUAAUCCAUUUAUCAUCUUCUUCAUCUUUUCAGUACGCGCUCAAGUCUUGCGCAUAUAUAAUCACACAUUUUUUUAAUGUGUAUCUUACAAAUGACUAUGACUGAAUAUUGACCCCACACAUAUACUUGAUAUUUAUGAAUUAUAAUUUUUAACACCAUCCAGUCAUCCAGAUGCGUAUGCAUGUACAAGAAUUUUAAGUAUUUUCAACACGUGCAAAUACCUCAAGCCGAGUUGGUCCGUCUUUUUUAUCCAUGAGGUACACAUCUUCACGAAUUGUGAAUUUUUUUAGGACAUACGCAUAUCUUAAAUGCGUAUCCAGUUAAUUUGCAUACCCAACACGCAUUACUAGAGUGCGUAGUCACAAUAUAUACGCAUAUUUAAUAUGCGUGUUAUUCGUUAAAAAUAUAUAAACUUGACCACGCAUGUCUGGCAUGCGUAUUUGAUUAGUUAUUCUGGGUAGCCUCUUCCGCUUAUAGACAUUUUGGACAUUCUUCUCUAAAAUAUGAAUAUUUUUGUUCUUCACCCUCUUAAAGGUACACAUUAAUUAUAUUGUCAAUUACUUUUCGGGUCAUAUCGAAUAUGUGAAUGUUUACCACAUAAAAUAUAUGAGUAAUGUUAUUAAUGUAUUCUAAUAUCAAAAUUUAACCCCCUCUUGAAGGUACACAUUAAUUAUUAAUUACAUUGUCAAUUAUUUUUCGGGUCAUAUCGAACAUGUGAAUGUUUAUCACAUAAAAUAUAUGAGUAAUGUUAUUAAUAUUACAUAACUUAUACUUUUUUCCAAAUUCUUUUCCAAAAGUGUGACAAAUAAAUAAUUUGUUUUUUCUUUGUACGGAAAAUUAAUUAAUUUUAAAGGAAUGAUUUAUGUAUUUACAAAUGAUACCAUUAUCACUAAUGUAAAUGAAACUAAUCAAUAAAUAUCAAUUAAGAUGCCUGAAGUCAAGUUGAGAAAGUUUUUUUCGUUCUUACAACUUCGGCUUCUUUUCUUAUAAAAUUAUAUUUCUUUAAAUCAUAUGCACUUUAAUUAAGCAAUAUCUUUUUUUUCUGAAAAUAAUUAAGCAAUAUGUGACAUCCCUCAAAUCUGGGGGUCUGGAUUUGGUGCCACAAUCAUAAAAAUCUUUUAAAACCUUUAUUUGUGGAAAAUAUAAAACAGAUAUUUAAAAUAUCUGGACAUUUUAAAAAAGAUUUAAAUCAAAAUCACUCUGACCCCAAAAAUAGGAUCGCCAGUAGGUUAUAGCACUGAAAUCAGGAAAUCAAAACUUAAAAUCUUAUUACAACUUAAACUACAUUAUCAAUUAAACCUCGAUAAGAAGAGUAACUGAUAACCAAAUAAAUAAAUCUAUUAUACAACUGGAUUGAAAUAAAACAUUUCUAACCAGAACUAUUCUCGUACACAUCUCCCUGGCAACCUUGCCUAGCAUCAAUCCUACGCGCAACUCAAAGAACUCAUCUUAAUCCCUAACUGAAAGGGUUAGAAAUAAUAGCAAGGGUGGGCGAAAAUUCUCAACAAGAUAAAUCUUAAAAGCAUAAUCAGAUAAAUCCAUAAUAUGUAGAGAAUUUCAAAUCCAAUUGGUUAUGGAUUUCUAUUUAAAACAUUGAUAAUGCCAUUCCAAAUUGGAGAGAGUUUCCAUCAUGAGAAAACAUUUAGAAUCUCAUAAACAAUAUCAAUUUUGUAAGAACUUCAUAAUUUAAUUAUUUAUAAGUUCAAAAUAAAUAACUUUUGAUAAUCCGCUCUUCGUAAAACAUUGUUCCGGAAAUUCUCAAAAUAUUCAGUAUCCUCCAUCAUCGGCUAAAUUUACAGUAUUUAGCCUGAUGAACCAGCAUGACAAUGGUGGGUUGAAUAAAUAAGAAGAUCUCAAUUCAUUCUUGGUUCUAACUAACAUUGAGCAACAAAUGCUUCACCGAGAAUAUGAGUUCGAAUUAAUCUUUAAAACUUUUCUGAAACUUAAUGCUAAUAAUGAAUAGCAUUAAUCUAUAAACCAUUUCACAACAUUUUCAGGGUGUAAUUGGAAUAUUAACGAUAUACUAUAGCCGAUGAUCAGUCGCGACAUAGUACUGGAUCAUGCACGAAGCAUGUCACCAAAUCUAAGGAAUUCCAGGCACACAUUGGCAUAUUUCGCUGGACCGGCGUCUCGGCCUCUUACGCAUACGUUCCAAUCACAAAAUAAGUAAGGUAUCGAAAUGAUCGCGCGACAACCUUGUUUUAUAUCAAAAACAUAAUAAUAACCAUAAUAUUAACGGUUCAGCAUUUCCUAUACAUUUAAGUAAAAGUUCUUUUCAGAGGAAACAGUUAUAUGAACCACAGUUGAUAAAAAAAUAUUGUAGACAGGAUGUGAGUGGACACAUUUUAAAAUGAUGUUGUAAUUAACAAGAAUUUGCAAGCUCGAUACUUUUCAAGGCAAUUCAUAAAAUAUAAGUCAAAGAAAAUGGGGUAGUUGAAAAUCUCAGAACAAAUAUUUUAAGAGCUUUCUAGGCUCAUCUUUUUAAAUAAGGAAGGAGAAAGGAUUUUAAUAAAAUAUUAAUAGAUUAGGCAUAUAUUAUGUGCAGUAGUACAAGUAUGUUUCGAAAAAAAAAUGAAAGAAGAUAUUUUAAAUCACGGGAUAAAAAUACGAAUGCUUGCGGGAAUUACAAGUCAUGUAUGGGUAAAAAAAAAACCUUGCAUUAUUAAGAGAGGGAGUUGAAAUACUUGCUAAAACACAAGUCAUUGAUAGGGAUACUUGCAUCUGAUAGAAACACAAGUGACAGCACGGUCCCUCUACUCGAGAUUCCUGUACUGACCUCAACUCUGCUAAUCUCUACAAUGAAUAUAUUCUUUGGACUAUCUUACAGUAUUACUUUCGCCUUAUCAAACUAUUUCCGACUUGAAUUGCAGCACUAAUCGCUGGCUUCUGAAAGUCGUUGAUGCACGCGUCUCGAAAGACUAUAUAUAACAACAAUAUAAUAUUUCUGUCGAAGAACAAUCCAGAGCAUCGUCUAAAUCGCAGAAUUGAAAUUCUAUUACCACCCUUCGCAAAAUAAAUAUAUAAUAUACAUAAAUAAACUUAAAAUUAUUAAAUUUGAAAAAAAAUAACGGAGAACCAAAUCAUAGAUAAAGUUUUGUUUCUCGGGUGCAUCGUGCAAAAAAAAAAAAAAGAACUAGAGUUUUGCUAUAUUUGAUAUUUUUUUAAAUUAUAUCAAAGAAAAAUAAUCAUAAAAUUUAAAACAAAUAGUAUAUAAAUUUAUUUAUAUCUAUAAAUAUAAUCUAAGAUACUAGAAUUCGCAACUUUUCAUUUGGUUGUGGUAGCAUAGAAAAAAAUUGCAGAGAACUCGAUAAAAUACUAGUUUUACUCUUGUAUCGAGAUGCGUGUAUUGGAUUGGAUUUUAAAGAAUUUUUUUUCAUUUCUGAAAUCCGAGGAUAUUUGAUUGGAGUUGUUUAAAAUUCAUUAAAUCAUGAGGUAUUUAAUUGUGAUUUUAAAUUAUACUACAAAAUCUUGUGGUAUUAAAUUAUGUUUUAAAAUUCGAUGGUAUUCAGUUGGGAUUGUUUAAAAUCCAUUAAAAUCUGAUGGUAUUCAAAUGCUGAUGAAUUUUUUUGAAUUUCAUAAAAUGAUGGAUUUUGUGGAAUUUUUCAGUGUAUUUUAAGUUUUUUGAAAUCUCAUCAAGAUCCAUGAGAAUUUGAAGUAUUGUACUUGAAUCCUAUCAACUCUGUGAAGUUUUGUCAAGAAUCCACACAAAAUCAAAAUCACUUACAAUUCAUUAAAAUCCAAUCACUAAAUACAAUGCAUUAACAUCCCAAUGAAUACACCCCGUAUGGUCUCUUUCAUAUGGUCAUUGCGGCAUUUUAUUGAGGUGCCUGGUUGCCGGCGGGUUUCGGCGAGUUUCAAGUAAAUUAGUAAACAACCCAAUUAGGUCAGUUUUAUAAAAAUUUGAAUCCAUUAUGAAUUUUAUUGAAGUAGAGUUGGUCAGUUCGACUAGAUCGGUGAACUGUAUAAAAGAAUUUAGUGUAACAUAUAUUUGUAUUUGUUGAUCAGAAAUUUCAAUACAAUAUCAUAUAAUAUUUUAUAUAAAAAAUUAUAAUGACAUUAAAAAUAAAAUUAUAAAUAUGCGACUUUGAAUAUUUUUUUUAAAAUCAAUACAAACAAUUAGAAACAUAUGUUACUUUUUAAUUAUAACUUACUCUACUCAAAAACAAACACGAACUUUACUCUUUUUAACUUUAACGUGGUCUAUUUUAAUACAACACGAAUCAUUAGGUAAUCAUUUCUAACUCUAGCAUGUUACACAAAUAUAUACCAAAUAUGAAAAUUUUGAUUUGAAAUUCAUUGAAUAAUAAAUUAUCACAUAUUUAUAUUAGAAAAAUAUUUAUAAAUAGAUAAUAAAUUAUAAAUGCUAAAUUUUCAUGAGAAAACAUAAUCAAUUGGUUAAUAUAAUUUAAUUAAAAUUCAAUUCAUUAAUAUUAAAAUACUAAUAAAAUGAUGUUAAAAUACUUAUUCUCUCCGUCCCUCUCAUUUCUUUAAAAAAAAUUUGCUGCUCGACAAGUAUUAUAAGACUUUUGCACAGCAUAAUUUCUUAACUUAUUUUUGAGAUUUUUUUUUUGCUUAUAAAAAUUCAAACAACAACUUUUUAGUAAAAAAAUAAAAAGUAAAAUUAGGAACUAUAUUUUUUAGGCCAAAGAUUUGGAGACAUGUAGUCGGGAUAUGAAAUUGUUACAGGACUCGCCCCAAAAUAAAGUCGUUUCAUGAGAGCGGCGGAAAGGAAAAUUUUGGGGGGAAAAGUAGAUAACUCACGACUCAACUCAAGUACAAAACUGAUGUUUUGCCAGUAGUAUAAUAAAGUGGGGUUUUCAUUUUUGACUUGAAAGUUGAUCUGCCAGAGAAACAACACGAGGGCGUUGAUUGAGUGUAAUGGAUUUAGAAGGAAGCCCAGUAAGCAAUGGAUUCCACAUGCCUGCUGAAUGGGAGCCCCAUUCCCAGACUUGGCUGGGUUGGCCUGUAAGAUAAUAUACCUGUAUAUAUAUUUUCUUCUUACAUAAUUGCUGCUUUUUAAGAUAAGGGUCUUUGAUAAUUGUUUCAGAUUUUUUUUAUGUAUUGAAGGGUAUGGUGAUUACGCUUGUAUUUGAUAUGAUGGGUAUUUUUUUUAUGUUUUAUUGCAAGUUGCUAAAAGCCUGUUUAUGAUUAUUUGGGCAAUGGUCAAUUUCUAAAGCGUUUGAUUUUCUUCCAUGUCAGUUUUGCUAAAUUGGACUUUACAUACAUAGAUUUGUACUAGAACAUGGAUACUAUAUAUAGUAUAAACAUGUUCUUGGUAUGGAGUUUAAGGCACCAGUGUUACAAAGUUUUAUUUGAAUAUCUAAUGAGUAAUGAUUGUCAUUGAGCAUCUCAAAUGCUUUAGCAAGUGAAUAACAUUGAAAUUAUUCGAUUUACUUUUUCCGAAUUGAUCUGGCUUGAUUACGUUCUUUCUGCUUUCUGGUCUCUUGCUCAAACUGUAGCAAGUUCAUUAUUUUUGUGGAAGUAAGAUUACAUAGUGUGAUUAUGGUAUCUCAGAAUAUACUUGCUAUAUGCAGUCAUACUAAAGAAAUACUAUAACAUGUAGGAGCGUGGUGAUAACUGGCGAGAUAAUGCCGUGCAUGCUCAGAUUGUAUUUGCGAAGGUGGCAGCUGCAAUUUCAAAAUUUGAGCCAGUCACAGUCUGUGCUAGUGCUGCUCAGGUUCGUAUUGUCUGGUUAUCCUGAUCAUGAUAAUCUGUUGUAUAGCUAUCUGUGGCACGAUUUUGCUAAGCACAUAAUUUGGACAUUUUUUACUUCUGGUCAGUGGGACAAUGCACGCAGACAGUUACCACAUAAUGUCAGGGUCAUCGAAAUGAGCAUGAAUGAUUCUUGGUUUCGGGACUCUGGGCCAACUGUGAGUUCUUUCAUCUCUUUUCCAUUAUUUUUUAUUUUUUUCUUUCCAGGUGUUCUAAUCUGAAGAACUUUUUGAUAAAUGCUGAGAUGGCUACUUCUCUUGUUUGUUUAGUUUGUUGUGAACAAGAGCAAAUUAGGACCAGGUAGUACAAAAGAUAAAGUUGCUGGCAUCGAUUGGAACUUUAACAGCUGGGGUGGUAAGAUUGUUUCUUGUGCGUUUAUAUUCACUAAUGUGAUGUCGCAUGCUUUCAUGUUACCAUUUUACCAGGUCACCUGAUCUUACAGGUGCUGAGGAUGGUUGCUACACUGAUUGGAGUCUCGACCUUCUUGUUGCUAAAAAGGUGUGAAACUGACAAAUUGCUGGGUCCUCAUUCUCAAUGUUUUUGUCUAGUAACUAUGUACUAAUAUAAGGCCUCACCUACCUUACGUUUCAAUUUUUACUAGAUAAUUUCUGUUGAAAGGCUUCCUAGGUUUCCUCAAUCUAUUAUUCUUGAAGGCGGUAGCAUCCAUGUUGAUGGAGAAGGUUAGUGCUGUUACUUAUUUGAUGAUAUACGUUAUAGGAAACUUUAGUCUUCCAUUGCAUAUGAAUGUGUGUAUCACUAAAUUUGCAUAUAUCAAUUUUAUUUUCUGUAGUGGGAAUUUCUUUUUAUAUUGUUUUUAAAUUUUUUCAAGGAUCGCUUAAUCGACUUGCAAUAUAUUAUAAAGACAAUACUGUAUUAUUCUCAAUUGUUUUCUGCAAUAUGCUGAAUAAUAGAUUAAACUAAAAAACUGUCUUGUAUGCUAUGGAUUGCUUCUGAUUCCAUGCCAGUUUAUGAAAUGAGCAAACUGGAACCCUAAAGUACGUCGAUCAUAAACAUUGGUGACAUAUUACUGUUUGUAUUAACUAAUUGAAUUUUAGAAUAGUGUUUAGUGAUUUUGCACACUCGGGAGUUCGGUUAUCAUUUUUGUAUCUUGUAGACAAUGGGAUCAUCAAAUUUGGAACUGAGGAAGUAUCAGGGAACACUACUUUAUGUACUCAACAACUAACUUUAUGGCGUUUCUGAACAUUAAAGUAAAUAUCUAGCUUCUAGAGAGGAUAUCUGUACUUCUCAGUUCUCGCUACUUAUCUUUCUCCUGUUAAUAAAGUAUUUUUAUCCACAAUCAUCUCGCCAGUUGUCAUCCUAUUAAUAUUAUGGCUGCUACUAGUAUUAAACAUCAAAGACCUGUCCCACUUUAGUAUAGACUAUAGCAUAAUCGAUGCUUACAAUAGCUUCUCACACAUUUGUCUGUAUGGUAGAAUGUACAGCCGCUUCAGAACAUUCAAUUUUAAUAAGACUGUAGAUAUUUGUUAGCAGUUAAUAUUGAAAAGAACUACUCUUUCUUCAUCCACUUUCUUUGUAGAAUACCUUAUUCAGUUAACAUCAACUCUGGAAGCCGCAUUCCAUUUAUAAAAACAUAACUAAUAAUUGUUAUCAGUACAAUGCUUUAGCACAUACAUGCAUAAGGCCUAAUGGUACUAUCUAAGAGAUGUCUUUCGUCAAUAUAACUGCAAUAUUUGAAAUAUAUAACUUGUUUGCUUUGCUUACUUCAGGAACUUGUCUUACUACUGAAGAGUGCCUCUUGAAUAAAAACAGGAACCCACACCUUACUAAAGUACAGAUUGAGGAUGAACUCAAAGCAUAUUUGGGUGUCAAGAAGAUUAUAUGGUUGCCUCGUGGAUUAUUUGGUACCUACUUACCUCCAUAGAAUGUUUUUUCAUGUCAUUCACCUUGAGUAAUAUGUUUUCUUGAUAAAGGAAAUGUAAGUUUUUUUACUUUUAAUCCGAGUAUUCUUGUCAUGGUUAUCUGAUUGAUCUUUUUAU
rnacentral:lncRNA from 1 species